rnacentral:lncRNA from 1 species
GCAUCCUUCCUGCUUACCUCAGUGGGGAGCCCCUUGUAUCACAGAGCAUCCUUCCUGCCUCAGACUCUCUUUCCACCCACCUCCCUGUACUACCUGGCCGCCCUUGCCUUUCUUCCUGGGGUUUCCCAGGUAUUUGACUUACCAGUGUGACCCAAGAGAGAGGCUUCAGGUGGGAGGGAUGGUGACAUGAAUGCUAUGAAGAGUCCAGUUCCCCAGUCGUGCCUGUCUAUGGAAUAUGAUCAUGAAAAGUGGGUGCGCUUUUCCCAAGCAAAGUUUUUCAAAGGCCAUGAUUGCAAACACAACUAGACUUGGAAGCUGCGGAUCUAUCCUGGCCAACACCAGUGGAAGGUGGACCUGAAAUACGAACCACACUUGGCGAUGUAAAAUUUCCCAGGAGCAACACUUCAUGAUGCAAAAAGAAGUAGAUGGAAUUGAUUUUAAUAAUAAUAAAGCUUGCAUUGUAUUUAAC